UGCUCCCAAACAGCAGAUUAAGCCCGAAGCCUUUGCUAGGGAUCUUCUGCACCUUCUCCAAGGCAUCUCAUGAUAUUUUAUUGUCAGGACCAUUAGUGGUUCGUCGUAGUCUGGCUCAGUUUCCCAUCAGGAAAUGGACCAGACCAGAAGCAAAAUGGAUCUUACCUUGGUGUAUAGAGACAAGCAGGACCCUAUGAAAUGAUGGAAGAUGCCAGUGUUGUGCACAGUGCCCCCCAGGGAGGACAGUGGAUGUGGUUCCUCUCCUUGUAGAGCAGUGUUUCUGCACGCCAAUGAGAGCCCUCUUCCCACAAGACAUCAGCGUUGCUGGGGCUUUGAACUCCACUUCAAAGCCAGGGCUGGAGUGAGGUUUCUUGAGGAGAUCUGGAGGUUUUCCCCUUUGCAUGGUCCAUGAACUCAUGGAGAUGCCUCAUCCUUUCCACCACUGAAACAGCCAAAGAGGAAGAUCCUUUUCUUGUCUGGGGAGAAAA